CCUACGGGUGGCAGCAGUGAGGAAUAUUGGUCAAUGGGCGCAAGCCUGAACCAGCCAAGUCGCGUGAAGGAUGACUGCUCUAUGGGUUGUAAACUUCUUUUAUAUGGGAAUAAAGUCCAGUAUGUGUACUGCUUUGCAUGUACCUUAUGAAUAAGGAUCGGCUAACUCCGUGCCAGCAGCCGCGGUAAUACGGAGGAUCCGAGCGUUAUCCGGAUUUAUUGGGUUUAAAGGGUGCGUAGGCGGGCUGUUAAGUCAGUUGUGAAAGUUUGCGGCUCAACCGUAGAAUUGCAGUUGAUACUGGGCGCCUAGAGAAUAGUAGAGGUAGGCGGAAUGCGUGGUGUAGCGGUGAAAUGCUUAGAUAUCACGCAGAACCCCGAUUGCGAAGGCAGCUUACCAAGCUAUGACUGACGUUGAGGCACGAAAGCGUGGGGAUCAAACAGGAUUAGAUACCCCAGUAGUC
rnacentral:rRNA from 1 species